GCGGGUGUAGCUCAAUGGUAGAGCAGCGUCCUUCCAAGUCGAAGACGGGGGUUCGAUUCCCCUCACCCGCUCCA
rnacentral:tRNA from 5 species